GUGUCAGUGAUGACACCUAAAGUUGUCUUCAAGACAGAUGAUGACAUAAAAGUCAUACUCAAUAGGGUUACGCUGAGACCC